GACUCAAAGUAUGCAAAAAGUUGCAAAACAGCGAAUUCUGAGUUUGUAGUUCAGCAAUCUUUGAGUAGUCAUAUCUUUUGCAUUACAACUCCAAAUCAAGAGAUUUUUGGACCUACUUGUAGCUUGAGAUGGCAUCUUUUGAGAGUGAUAGCUUAAGAAUGGUAGAAAAGUUUAGAGGUGACAACUUUCACCACUGGAAGGCCAAAAUGGAGCUACUUUUGGCGUCAUUGGAUCUUUGGGAGAUAGUAUGUGAGGAGGAAGAGGCACCUGGAUUAGAAGAAAGCAUGAAGGAGCAAAAGGACUUCAAAAGACGAAAAAAAGAAGGCUUUUGGUAUAAUUGCCACCAACUUAGAUGAAACCAACUUUGCUCAUGUCAUUUCUUGCAAAGGAGCAGCAGAUGCAUGGAAGACUCUUUGCAAUGUCUAUGAGAGUAGGAAUCUUUCUAAUGUGCUAUGGUCAAGGCAAAAGUUCUUCACUGUGAAGAUGGAAGAAGGUGAAGAUCUCAUGGCUCAUGUAAAUAAGGUAAAAGCACUUGCAAACCAACUUGCUGUUGUUGACAAGCCUUUACUUGAAGAAGAUGUUGUGAUGACAUUGCUCUCAGGCCUUCCGGACUCCUAUUCCUCCCUCAUUGUGGCAUUGGAGUCCAUUUCAAGGAAAGACCUCACUUUGGACUGUGUCACGGCAAGACUAGCCCAUGAAGUGACCAAAAGAAAGCAAAAGGAGUCUAUUGGGGAGCAAUCAGCACUAUUUACAAGACCAAGUAAGGCAAGUGCCCCUUUUCAACGUUAUCCUCCUAAAACUUGUUACAUUUGUGGAAAACCAGGCCAUUUUGCUAGAAAUUGUUUCAAGGCAAAUAGAGGAGAAAGAAAAUUUGCCAACAAUGCUUUGCAUGAUCAUGGAGGUGAAGACUUUGCAUUCAUGGCAAAACAAACUCCUUCCAUGUUUGAUAUGAGCAAAUGGAUUGUGGAUUCCGGAUGUACCAAACACAUGACUCCAUACAAGUGUUCAUUUAACACUUAUCAACCAAUUCAAGUAACUAAGGUUUGGUUAGGUGAUAAUUGUAUGGUACAAGCCAUUAGAAUAGGCACCAUUAUAGUGGAGGUGGUGGUGAAGGGCAUAAGCAAGAGAAUCACUCUCAAGGAUGUGUUGCAUGUGCCAAAGAUGAAGAAGAACCUCCUUUCGGUGAGUAAACUUGUAACUCAUGGGUACAAAGUGCAAUUUAACAUGAAUGGAUGUUUUGUGAGAACCAUAGAAGGCAAAGAAGUAGCAAAAGGGACUAGGAAUGGCAAUCUCUAUAUUAUCAAUUGCAAGAGGAUCAAUGGAGUGGAGGUUGCUGCCUUUGCUGAAUUUCCAUCAAAUGAAGACAAGAUGGGCAUUUGGCAUCAAAGACUUGGGCAUUUGAAUGCCAAAAGCAUGAAGGGAUUUCAAUCCAAGGUAAAUGGCAUAGACCUUGGCCAUUCUAUCAUAAAUCUUGCUUGUGAGGGAUGCAUUCAAGGCAAACAACAUAGGACACCAUUUCCUAGAGGAGUUGCAAAAAGAGCAAACCAAUUGCUGGAGCUUGUGCAUUCGGAUGUUUGUAGAUCCAUGAGGACACCAUCUAUGAGUGGUAGUGAAAAGUGGGAGAUGUGUCCAAGUGGGAGUAGUGGUGUGUUUGUGGACACAUCUUCAAUUCCAACAUAUAAACAAGAAGAUGAAGAAGAGCAUUCUCAAAGUGAAGAAGAAGAGGAAGUUGCCAUGAUAGAAGAGCCCAAUACUAUGAAGACUUCAAUUCCAGCAAGAUACAACAAAGACAAUGAAGAGAAUGAAGAUGAAGAAUACCAACAAAUGAGUAAAAGAAAGCACUGCAUGAGUCAUACUAGGCAGCAAGAGGUGCAAGAAGGCUCAUCUUCUUUGCAUGAAAGAAGAUAUCCAACACGUGAGAGAAGACCACAAGGUGAAUGGUGAAAGAACCACAUCUUUCUACAACAAUUGGAUGUAAGUGGGUGCUUAGAACCAAGAGAGAUGCAAACGAUUGAAGGUCAACAAUGGGCUAUGUAUUCUUUGUUUGAGUGGGAGCCAUAUCUUCGAAUAGCAAGAGACAACCAAAUAUUGCAAGGUCCACAAUAGGGGCGGAGUAUUUGGCAGCAAGUCAUAAAGCAAUGGAGGCAAUUUGAUUGAGGUUGUUAUUGGAAGAUAUUGAACUUGUGCAAUUGGAGGCUACUCCAUUGAGGUGUGACAAUCAAGGAUGUCUUGCUUUUGGAAAGAAUCCAAAGCAUCAUGCAAGGAUUAAGUACAUUGAUAUUCAGCAUCAUUUCAUAAGAGAGAAGAUAGAGAUGGAGGUUAUUGAUAUGAUGUAUUGUGAAACCAAAGACAUGUUGGCUGAUUUGUUGACAAAAGCCUUAAAUAGAGAAGGACACAACAAGUUGAGUCAGGCAUUAGGAUUGAGAGCUAAUUGACCAAUAGCAAAGUGGGAGUGUUGAGAAAAGAACUCUUUAAGUAGUUGCUAAUGGUCAAUAGAGUACAAGUGUUGUUAAGGAUAUCCCAUAAGGUAGGGUGCUGGUCUAUAGUGCAUUAGAAUACAAGGGGAGGGCUGGUCCUAGGAGAUAUCCCAUAUGGAUUGUAGCACUUGGUACCUUGGUACUAGUAUAUAAGGAAAGGGUUGGCAUGGGAAGAAUUAUCUCAUACCACACUCUAUUUGUUAUAGUGCAACCUUGCUGGUCCUAACUUACUUGUGUGGAGUAUGCUUUCUAUGUUUCAAUACUACCAGAUGAUAUCGUGUCGGAUCGAGGUACUCAGUUUGUAUCCAAGUUUUGGAGGUCCUUCUUUGAGAUAUUGAAGGUGGAUAUUAAGCUCUCUUCGGCUUUUUAUCUUCAAAUUGACGGUCAAACGGAGCGGGUGAAUCAAGUUUUGGAGCAAUAUUUACGAUGCAACAUCAACUAUCAACAAGAUGAUUGGACUGCAUAUCUACCGCUUGCUAAGUUCGCAUACAACAACACUCUUCAUGCGUCAACUCAACAAACACCAUUCUUCUCCAACUACGGAUACCACCCCAAGCUCGAUUUAUUGAGUUCUUCAGCAAAUAACAACCCAGCAGCUGAAGGAUUUGUGAAGCAACUAUCGGAGCUUCAAGCGACGUUGAAGCUUCAAUUGCAAUCUGCCCAAGAGAGUUACAAGGCAUCUGCACAUAAAUAUCGAAAUGAGGCGCCUACUUUUAAAGUUGGAAGUAAAGUAUGGCUUCUUCGAAGGAAUAUCAAGACCAAGCGGCCAUGUGACAAAUUGGACUAUCGGAGAUUAGGGCCAUUUGUUAUCGGGAAGCAGAUCAAUCCGGUGGCAUAUCGUCUGGAGUUACCAGCUACUAUGAAGGUACAUUCAGUCUUUCACGUGUCAUUGUUGGAACCUUAUCGAGAGUCAGCUUUUUCCCAAAGAGUACAAAGUCCGCCACCAAGUAUCAAAAUUGAAAACCAUGAGGAAUACGAGGUGGAAAAGGUACUAGAUUCACGGCGUAAUAGGAGAAAAUUGGAGUAUUUAGUGCAUUGGAGUGGAUACGACAUCAAUAAACGAACGUGGAAGCGUGCCGAAAAUCUUGACAAUGCACCAAAAAAGGUACAAGAAUUUCAUCAACGAUAUCCUCAUAAACCUAAGCCGAUUCAACGAUAGCUUCUUGCUAAAGCUUGCUCAUCAAGUAGCAUAAAAAGGAGGGAGGGCACCUCCAAAACCCAUAGUUCGGUAGUGUAGAACUUUGUUAGCAACUAUAGUUUGUUCUCAUCAUUUUAGCCUUUGGACAUGGAUAGUCAAGAUACUACACUUGUUAUGUCAUCUCAAGCGCAUAGCUCACGAAGACGACCGCGAGAUGAAGAACCGCCUGCACCACGACGACGUCGGAGGAUACCGAGCAACAAAUCGCUAGUAAUUGUAUUUGAGGUCGAGCCUGCCUACGACGGUCAGCCAGAAGGUGUGUUUGGGGGACAGUUUCACAAUGAAGACACAGAAGUCCACGCUUGGUCAGAGGUUGAAGGUGUUGGUCACUACCGUUGGCUCCAAGGGCCGAUGAAUCAUUUACCUCACGAACAACAAUUCGAAUUCAUAGCGGAUGUGAUGCGACAGAUUUUCAUUUUCUUGCGUUGGUAUUGACUGAUAACAACAUUGCUUCUCGGAGACCUCGAAGUUAGAAGAGGAGGUGAUGUCAUGGACAUACAUUAGAAGAUUCUUUGAAUAUUCUUCUAGAAUAUUCUAUAAAGAUUCUCUAAAGAUUCCUUUAGAAGGUUCUAAAAGAUUCUUAGAAUAUUCCCUAAAGAUUCUCUUAGAAGGUUCUAAAAUAUUCUUAGAAGGUUCUAGAAUAUUCUUAGAAGAUUCUAGAAUAUUGUGAUAGAUUCUAGGAAGUUGCUCGAGAAGUUUCCUAAUUAGUAGAAGUUGUUGGAGAAGCGUCCUAGUUAGCGGAAGUAGCUCGAGAAGCUUCCUAUUCAGUAGUAUAUAUAGGAGUCGAGGCUGAAGGGUUCUUCAGUCUCGACAACACAUCUCUUGGAAGUCUAGCUCACCUUUCUGGUGUUCUUCUUGUACUCAUCUGUUUAAUCUAGUUCUGCCACUUCUUCUUGAACUUCUUGUUAGAUUUCAAGUCUGUAUUUUGUGUCCAUGACAAAGAAACACCUGGAUUAGAGGCAAGCAUGAAGGAGCAAAAGGACUUCAAAAGACGAGAAAAGAAGGCUUUUGGCAUAAUUGCCACCAACUUAGAUGAAACCAACUUUGCUCAUGUCAUUUCUUGCAAAGGAGCAGCAGAUGCAUGGAAGACUCUUUGCAAUGUCUAUGAGAGUAGGAAUCUUUCCAAUGUGCUAUGGUCAACGCAAAAGUUCUUCACCAUGAAGAUGGAAGAAGGUGAAGAUCUCAUGGCUCAUGUAAAUAAGGUAAAGGCACUUGCAAACCAACUUGCUGUUAUUGACAAGCCUUUACAUGAAGAAGAUGUUGUGAUGACAUUGCUCUCAAGCCUUCCAAACUCCUAUUCCUCCCUCAUUGUGGCAUUGGAGUCCAUUUCAAAGAAAGACCUUACUUUGGACUAUGUAACGGCAAGACUAGCUCAUGAAGUGACCAAAAGAAAGCAAAAGGAGUCUAUUGGGGAGCAAUCAGCACUAUUUACAAGACCAAGUAAGGCAAGUGUCCCUUCUCAACAUAAUCCAUCUAAAACUUGUUACGUUUGUGGAAAAUCAGGCCACUUUGCUAGAAAUUAUUUCAAGGCUAAGAGAGGAGAAAGAGAGAAUGCCAACAAUGCUUUUGAUGACCAUGGAGGUGAAGACUUUGCAUUUAUGGCAAAAGAAACUCCCUCCAUGCUUGAUAUGAGCAAAUGGAUUGUGGAUUCUGGAUGUACCAAACACAUGACUCCAUACAAGUGUUCAUUUAACACUUAUCAACCAAUUUCAGCCACCAAGGUUUGGUUAGGUAAUAAUGGUAUGGUACAAGCCAUUGGAAUGGGUACUAUUAUAGUAGAGGUGGUAGUGAAGGGCACAAGCCAGAGGAUCACACUCAAGGAAGUGUUGCAUGUGCCAAAGAUGAAGAAGAACCUCCUUUCGGUGAGUAAACUUGUAACUCAUGGAUGUAGAGUGCAAUUUGAUAUGAAUGGGUGUUUUGUGAGAACCAUGGAAGGCAAAGAUUUAGCAAAAAGAACUAGGGAUGGAAAUCUCUAUAUUAUCAAUUGCAAGAAGAUCAAUGGAGUGGAGGUUGCUGCAUUUGCUGAAUUUCCAUCAAAUAUAGACAAGGUGGGCAUUUGGCAUCAAAGACUUGGGCAUUUGAAUGCCAAAAGCAUGAAGGAGAUUCAAUCUAUGGUAAGUGGCUUAGACCUUGGCCAUUCUACCAUGAAUUUUGCUUGUGAGGGAUGAAUUCAAGGCAAACAACAUAGGACACCAUUUCCUAGCAGAGUUGCAUCAAGAGCAAACCAAUUACUGGAGCUUGUGCAUUCGGAUGUUUGUGGACCUAUGAGGACACCAUCUAUGAGUGGAGCAAGGUACUUUGUCACAUUUAUUGAUGACUCCUCAAGGAAGGUAUGGAUUUACAUCAUCAAGGCCAAAAGUGAGUGUUUUGCCAAGUUUAAGGAGUGGAAAGUACUUGUGGAGAAGCAAUGUGAGCACAAGAUUAAGAUGCUCAGAUCGGACAAUGGAGGUGAGUAUUUAUCUCAUCACUUUAAUGAAUUAUUGAAACAUGAAGGCAUUGCAAGACAAACCUCCACUCCCUACACCCCACAACAAAAUGGAGUUGCUGAAAGAGCAAAUCGCACCAUUGUGGAGAUGGCUAGGAGUAUGCUUCAUGCUCAAAAACUUGGGUAUGAGUAAUGGGCGGAAGCUGUGGUAAAUGCAGUGUAUACAAGAAAUAGGUGUCCCACAAGUGCACUUGAAGGAUUGACUCCCCAAGAAGCUUGGACUGGUAAGAAACCUUGCAUACCUCACAUGAAGAUUUUUGGAUGCAUUGCUUAUGCCAAGGUUCCAGAUAGUAUGAGAGGCAAACUUGAUGCAAAAGGCACAAGAUGUAUAUUCCUUGCUUAUUGCGAAGGCACCAAGAUAUAUAGGCUCAUGUGUUUAGAUACCAAAAAGAUCAUCAAAAGUCGUGAUGUAGAGUUCUUAGAGCAUAAGAGUGGUAGUGAAAAGUGGGAGAUGUGUCCAAGUGGGAGUAGUGGUGUGUUUGUGGACACAUCUUCAACUCCAACAAACAAACAAGAAGAUGAAGAAGAACAUUCUCAAAGUGAAGAUAUAGAUGAAGAAGAGCCCAACACUAUGAAGAGUUGUAUUCCAGCAAGAUACAACAAAGACAAUGAAGAGAAUGAACAUGAAGAAUACCAACCAAGGAGUGAGAGAAGGAACUCCAUGAGCCAUACAAGGCAGCAAGAGGUGCAUGAAGGCUCAUCUUCUUUGCAUGAAAGAAGAUAUCCAACACGUGAAAGAAGACCACAAGGUGAAUGGUGGAAGAAUCACAUCUUUCCACAAGUAAGUGAAGACCAUGCCAAUGUUGCUCUUCUUGAUGAUCCAUUGACUUUAUGUGAUGCAAUGAGGUGUGGUGAUGCAAUGAAGUGGGAGAGUGCCAUGCAAGAAGAGUACAAAUCUCUUAUGGACAAUGCAACAUGGGAGUUGACUCCACUUCCACUAAAUCGUUCAGCAAUUGGAUGUAAGUGGGUGUUUAGAACCAAAAGAGAUGCUAUGGGCAAUAUUGUAAGGUACAAGGCAAGAUUGGUUGCCAAAGGCUACUCACAAGUUGCUGGAGUGGACUUUAAUGAGACAUUUGAACCCAUGGCCAAGUUCACCACCAUUAGAACCAUUGUAGCAAUGGGAGCAGCAAUGGACCUUGAGAUGUACCAAAUGGACGUCAAGACAGCAUUCUUGAAUGGAAAAUUGGAAGAAGACAUCUACAUGGAGCAACUCCAAGGAUUCAUUGAACAAGACAAACACAAUGUUGAAGGAAAGUACUCAUUUAGUUGUUGUUAAUGGUCAAUAGAGUAUAUGAGUAAUGAGGGAUAUCCUACAAGGUUAGUUGCUGGUCUAUAGAACCUUAGAAUACAAGGAGAGGGCUGGUCCUAGGAGAUAUCCCAUAUGGGUUGUAACACAUGGUACUUUGGUACUAGUAUAUAAGAAAAGGGUUGGCAUGGGAAGAAUCAUCUCAUACCACACUCUAUUUGUUAUAGUGCAACCUUGUUGGUCCUAACUUACUUGUAUGGAGUAUGCUUUCUAUGUUUCAAUAGGUUAUCGGCCCACAUUCUCUUACCAAGUAAGUUGUUCUUACAUUUUAUUUUCUUUGUUGCUUGCUUGGUUGUUGAGAUCUUAAGAUAUAGUAUUACUAGUGUUUUGUUGAAGUCAUUACCCCUGGAUUUGUGAGUGUAUGAGGUUAGUGCAAGACCUUGAUAGUGUCUUUGCUGAAGUAACACUAGUAUUUGAGAGUUUUAUGAGAAAUUGAGUCAUUUUGAGUGAGGUGAUGUGAGGGAGAUGUUUGAAAUCCAUAGAAUUACAUGACAUAACAUUUCCCACCAUUUAGACGUGCUUUGGACUCAAAGUAUGCAAAAAGUUGCAAAACAGCGAAUUCUGAGUUUGUAGUUCAGCAAUCUUUGAGUAGUCAUAUCUUUUGCAUUACAACUCCAAAUCAAGAGAUUUUUGGACCUACUUAUAGCUUGAGAUGGCAUCUUUUGAGAGUGAUAGCUUUAGAAUGGUAGAAAAGUUUAGAGGUGACAACUUUCACCACUGGAAGGCCAAAAUGGAACUACUUUUGGCGUCAUUGGAUCUUUGGGAGAUAGUAUGUGAGGAGGAAGAGGCACCUGGAUUAGAGGCAAGCAUGAAGGAGCAAAAGGACUUCAAAAGACGAAAAAAGAAGGCUUUUGGCAUA
rnacentral:lncRNA from 1 species